rnacentral:rRNA from 1 species
GACGAACGCUGGCGGCGUGCCUAAUACAUGCAAGUCGAGCGGACUGAUUAUGAGCUUGCUCUUAUGACGUUAGCGGCGGACGGGUGAGUAACACGUGGGCAACCUGCCCUGUAGAUCGGGAUAACACCGAGAAAUCGGUGCUAAUACCGGGUAAUAUCUGAGAUCACAUGAUCUUAGGUUAAAAGAUGGCUCCGGCUAUCACUACAGGAUGGGCCCGCGGCGCAUUAGCUAGUUGGUAAGGUAAUGGCUUACCAAGGCGACGAUGCGUAGCCGACCUGAGAGGGUGAUCGGCCACACUGGGACUGAGACACGGCCCAGACUCCUACGGGAGGCAGCAGUAGGGAAUCUUCCGCAAUGGACGAAAGUCUGACGGAGCAACGCCGCGUGAGUGAUGAAGGGUUUCGGCUCGUAAAGCUCUGUUGUUAGGGAAGAAACAGUACCGAACGAACUAGGUCGGUACCUUGACGGUACCUAACCAGAAAGCCACGGCUAACUACGUG